rnacentral:tRNA from 1 species
UGGGGUAUGGCCAAGCGGUAAGGCAUCGGUUUUUGGUAUCGUGAUCCCUGGUUCGAAUCCAGGUACCCCAGCCA